UACGUAGGUGGCAAGCGUUGUCCGGAAUUAUUGGGCGUAAAGCGCGCGCAGGCGGUCCUUUUAAGUCUGAUGUGAAAGCCCCACGGCUCAACCGUGGAGGGUCAUUGGAAACUGGGGGGACUUGAGUGCAGGAGAGAAGAGUGGAAUUCCACGUGUAGCGGUGAAAUGCGUAGAGAUGUGGAGGAACACCAGUGGCGAAGGCGACUCUUUGGCCUGUAACUGACGCUGAGGCGCGAAAGCGUGGGGAGCGAACAGG
rnacentral:rRNA from 1 species